rnacentral:rRNA from 1 species
GACAGAGGGGGCAAGCGUUGCUCAGAAUCACUGGGCGUAAAGGGCGCGUAGGCGGGAUGGCAAGUCAGUCGUGAAAUCUCUCGGCUCAACCGAGAAACGUCGGCUGAUACUGCCGUUCUUGAGGGAUGCAGAGGAGACUGGAAUUCCCGGUGUAGCGGUGAAAUGUGUAGAGAUCGGGAGGAACACCGGUGGCGAAGGCGGGUCUCUGGGCAUUUCCUGACGCUGAGGCGCGAAAGCGUGGGGAGCAAACGGG